CGUGAAGAUGAUGAAGAUGAUGAUGAUGAUGAUGAUUGGGAUAACGAUGUAAUGAUUAGAAUGAUAACGACAACGACAAGACCAACAACAUUGAAAAUGAUGAUGAAAAUGAUGAUGUUGAUGAUGAUGAUGACGACGAUGAUGACGAUGAGCAUGACGAGGAUGAUUAUCAUCACGUGCACUCUAUUAUGUAUGCGAAUGUGUUUUCGUAUCGUUGGUUUUUUUAUGCUACCUAUGUACUGCGGCUGUUGAAUUGUUGGGAGAGAUUCCAGGGAAAGGACAUCGAUAUCGCUAUCAGCUCCGUGGCGGAAUGAUGAUGAACGAUGACGACGAUGAUGACAAUGAUCGUGAUAUUCGUCGAAUCGAUAACUAUACGUGCUACAAUUUAAGUGAAAUGAAUCUUUUUCUCAUUCUCUCUCCUUGACAGCAGAUUAAACCUUAGAUUCGCUCUGUU
rnacentral:misc_RNA from 1 species